CUGGAGCAGCUGCUCGACUUCUCCGGAGAGUUCUUUCCCUCCUCAGAAAAUUUGACCGGGAGGUGAAUACUCUUAAAGUCACAACCAGCCAGCUCAUGCAGUCUCACCCUGGCCUUCCAGAUCAGCUGAGCUAUUAGCUAUGGUGGCUGUGUGAUGGUUUUGGAUUGCUGGUGAGAGAGGAAAACCCACUCUAUGAUUAAGAGUGAAUCCUUCUGCCCUUCAAUCCAUUGGAAUAUCAAGUAUGGAAGCUUUCCCAGGACAAUGAAUUUGAAAGGCAGCUCGGGCUGAUAACGAUGAGCCUGCCUCUCAGCCAAAGCCUCCUGUGCUUUUUGGAUUGCCUCUGGGGUCAGUUCCCUGGGAGAAAUUAGCUCUCUCUCCCCCUUCAAUAAAUUGAGGGGGGAAUCAGUAGCAGGCCCAGGGCCUGCAAGGCCUCCUUGGAGGUCAGAAGCCUGAGCUAGGAAAUGCCAAGUCAUGAUGACUGGGCCUUAGAAGCCCCUCUGUUCCGGCUUUUGGACCCUGGUAUCUCUCUGUAAGCCUAUAGGUCACCUUCCCUUGACCCUUAUUAUUGGACAAUUUCCAAAACUCCUGUAAGGUGUAUAAACCCCUAAUUCUGCCUGGUUUAGCAGAAGAGCUGUCACUGAGAACCUUUGUGGAGAUCCCCAAUAAAGAAUUCUUCGUAACCUCACACAGCACUUCUCUCUCUCCUGGCAUCUGCUGCAGCACCUAGCAAGCUAAAGAGCUGAAAUCACAAAGAGCUGAUAAUCACUUGAGCUUGCUUAAGGUUGCCUGUGGCUAGCAGCUGCUUGGGAACUCGGACACUGUGCUGAGCACCACUGAGCUAUCCUGGCCAUGUCAACUGUAAGCAUAGCCCAGCUGGAAGCUGCCCAAUAGGGAUCUAGGUCCUCGUUGGUGAGGCCUAGCCAGGGCCUGACCUAGUUCAAAGACCCACACAGGGAAUGGAGAUCUGCUAGGGUUUGGGGAUCACUACUGAUUUCCAAUUUCUGCAGAACAACAGUCUGUGCAGUUAUCUCCAAGCCCAGCCUUGGGCAAGCUUUCUUCAGUGCCAGUUCUACAGGGCCUCCUGACAGUGGGACAGAGAGAUGGUGUCUUGAAAAAUUAAACCAUAUGAGAAAUUUGUAGCUGAAAGAAAACCUGACUGUUGGAAUGAAUUUCAGCUUUCACCUGGAGACCUGAAGAAAACUACUCCUCAUGAGGCAUCUCACUUGCUGCUUUCCUUAUAACAUCUUUAUUGUAAUUUCCUUUCUUUUUACAAUGAUGUUCUAAAAAAAGCACUGCAACCAGCUGUAGUGUGGAGAAUAUAUAAACACAAAAUAUAUUAUCUGUAAGCAUCCAGAAUAUUGUAUUGCUAUGCCUUGAAACUAUGACUGCAUUAAAAAACUGAAAGUUUUAAUGGAAAAAUACAUUUUGAAAGUUGCCCUUGAAAACACACUGAAUAAAUCUUUGAGUUGUGAUGGUU